AGUGAACGCUGGCGGUAGGCCUAACACAUGCAAGUCGAACGGCAGCACAGUAAGAGCUUGCUCUUACGGGUGGCGAGUGGCGGACGGGUGAGGAAUACAUCGGAAUCUACUUUUUCGUGGGGGAUAACGUAGGGAAACUUACGCUAAUACCGCAUACGACCUACGGGUGAAAGCAGGGGAUCUUCGGACCUUGCGCGACUGAAUGAGCCGAUGUCGGAUUAGCUAGUUGGCGGGGUAAAGGCCCACCAAGGCGACGAUCCGUAGCUGGUCUGAGAGGAGGAUCAGCCACACUGGAACUGAGACACGGUCCAGACUCCUACGGGAGGCAGCAGUGGGGAAUAUUGGACAAUGGGCGCAAGCCUGAUCCAGCCAUACCGCGUGGGUGAAGAAGGCCUUCGGGUUGUAAAGCCCUUUUGUUGGGAAAGAAAAGCAGCAGGUUAAUACCCCGCUGUUCUGACGGUACCCAAAGAAUAAGCACCGGCUAACUUCGUG
rnacentral:rRNA from 1 species